AGAGUGGCGGACGGGUGAGUAACGCGUAGGAACCUACCUGGUAGCGGGGGACAACCUGGUGAAAAACCAGGCUAAUACCGCAUACGCCCUACGGGGGAAAGCAGGGGAUCUUCGGACCUUGCACUAUCAGAUGGGCCUGCGUCGGAUUAGCUAGUUGGUGAGGUAAAAGGCUCACCAAGGCGACGAUCCGUAGCUGGUCUGAGAGGACGAUCAGCCACACUGGGACUGAGACACGGCCCAG
rnacentral:rRNA from 1 species